rnacentral:ncRNA from 1 species
AAAUGUCUUCAGGGCAGGGUGAAAAUCCCGAUCGGCGGUAUAGUCCGCGACCUGUGUUUCUGCACAGUUGAUCCGGUGGAACUCCGGGACCGACAGUGACGCGCUUUGAAUCGGCGGCGCGAAGUCUGGAUGGAAGAAGAUGUGU